GUAGGGUGCAAGCGUUAAUCGGAAUUACUGGGCGUAAAGCGUGCGCAGGCGGUUUUGUAAGUCUGUCGUGAAAGCCCCGGGCUCAACCUGGGAAUUGCGAUGGAGACUGCAAGGCUUGAAUCUGGCAGAGGGGGGGUAGAAUUCCACGUGUAGCAGUGAAAUGCGUAGAGAUGUGGAGGAACACCGAUGGCGAAGGCAGCCCCCUGGGUCAAGAUUGACGCUCAUGCACGAAAGCGUGGGGAGCAAACAGGAUUAGAUACCCUGGUAGUCCACGCCCCUAAACGAUGUCUACUAGUUGUCGGGUUUUAAUUAACUCGGUAACGCAGCUAACGCGUGAAGUAGACCGCCUGGGAUACGGUCGCAAGAUUA
rnacentral:rRNA from 1 species